rnacentral:tRNA from 1 species
GGGGCUGUAGCUCAGUUGGUAGAGCGGUACGUUCGCAAUGUACAGGCCAGGGGUUCAAUUCCCCUCAGCUCCACGA